AGAGCUCAUCCUCUCAAUAAUGCUCACUGGGCUAUAAUUCUGUGACUUUUGAUCCGAUCAACUUGAAACUUUCAGGGAUUAUUUAUAUAAUACUUUCAGAAAAUUUCAUUUUUGAAAAAUCGAUUUUUUGGACAUUUAUGACUAGAACAUCCCAUUUAUUUCAUUUCAAUCAUUUAGAUGCAGAUCCUUUCUCAACAUGUGUGCAGUCACAUACAUCAUCCUAUUUUUCUUCUCCAAGUAUACAUCGAUUGCUCGCUGACGCAUCUCUUGCCACUCGUAUAAAUCUCGAAAUAUGGGGCGAACAAAUUUCAUGCGUCCUUGUUCAGUGGCAAAGU